AUUGAACGCUGGCGGCAUGCUUUACACAUGCAAGUCGAACGGCAGCACGGGUGCUUGCACCUGGUGGCGAGUGGCGGACGGGUGAGUAAUACAUCGGAACGUGUCCAGAAGAGGGGGAUAACGCAUCGAAAGAUGUGCUAAUACCGCAUAUGCUCUGAGGAGGAAAGUGGGGGAUCGAAAGACCUUACGCUUUUGGAGCGGCCGAUGUCUGAUUAGCUAGUUGGUGGGGUAAGGGGCCUACCAAGGCGACGAUCAGUAGUUGGUCUGAGAGGACGACCAGCCACACUGGGACUGAGACACGGCCCAGACUCCUACGGGAGGCAGCAGUGGGGAAUUUUGGACAAUGGGCGCAAGCCUGAUCCAGCAAUGCCGCGUGAGUGAAGAAGGCCUCGGUUGUAAGACUCUUUCUAGUCGAGAAGAAAAGGAC
rnacentral:rRNA from 1 species